UUCUGAAUCGAUCCUGAUCGAAUCGAAGACCGUAUCGUUUCUGGAUUGGCUGAUAGCUACUCGUUAAACUCGAAAUCGUAAUCGGAAUGGGCGGUACGGACGCGAAGGACAUCCUCGGGUUGCCGAAGACUCCACUGUCUUUAGCUCAGGAGAAGAGAUCUCGACCCCAGAAGGAGUCCCAUCGAAAACCCGAUGGCAUUUCUCGCGAGGUUUAUGCGCUUACGGGCGGCGUUGCCUUCAAUUGAUUAAAACGACCUCAAAUUUAUAGAUUUUAGAUGAUUUAUCUGUGGGUUUUGAUGUUAAAGAACCCUUCUUUCUUUCAGGUAGCUUGGCAAUGGCUUCCCGUCAAGAGUUCUGCUAGGAGUGAUGAUUUGCAGCUCUUCCAUUGGGUUAGAGUGGUUAAUGAUGUUCCACCAUCAGUCAGUUGAUGUCCUGAAAUACACUGACGAUGAGUAUGAGAACCAUUUAACGGACCCUGUGUGGACCAAGGAAGAGACAGAUCAGUUGUUUGAAUUGUGUGAAAGGUUUGAUCUCCGUUUCACUGUGAUUGCUGAUCGCUUUCCAUUAUCCCGGACUCUAGAGGAAUUGAAGGAUCGUUACUAUAGCGUAACUCCGGGCCCUGCUGCGUGCUAGAGCUCAGUGUUGGCAAACCAUCCUCUUAUAAAAGAGCCGUAUGAUAGGACACGCGAUAGAGAGCGCAAACGUGCAUUGUCUAUGGUCUUGUCCCAGAGUAGACACCAAGAGAAGAAAGAUGCAGAGAUUCUAGCUGAGGCUCACAGAGAUGCGUUUGGCUGCGCGUCGUGCGGCAGAGCCUGAUGUGCCUGCGAAUGAGAAUAUCGGUAGUGUAUCUCCAUCUUCCAAUUCUCAACUUCCUGCAACUGCCGUGGCUCCAUCCACACUAUCAAUGGCAGAUUAUGCCUCUACCCUUGCUUCUCUGCACAUGCUUCAUGUAUACUUGAGAACCUAUGGACUUGAACAAAUGGUCCAAGCUGCAAGCUCUGCUGUUGGUCUUCGAACGAUCAAGCGCGUUGAGUAGACUCUGCAAGAUCUCGGGGUUAAUUUAAAGCCAAAGUUCCUACGACAUCUUGAAUUACGAAAAGAAAAUUCUAACACUACUGAAUCUUCAGAAGCAGCUACAGUAUAAAGAAUCAGAAGGUUCAUCACACCGUGAAGGGACAUAUGCCGCAAUGCCGGAUACUCCAAAGGUCAGCAUCAUAACUUGAAUCGUCAAUUCUUACUGCAGUUUCAUCCUUGUAUGGAUAUAUUAUCUCUAAUCCUUUGUGUAUGAUCAGGAUCGCAUCUGAGCCAUUCAGUUUUGGAGCUGAAAGACCAAUCAAGAAGGAACAAAAGCGCAAGGUAAUCCAGAUCAGUGUCUAGUCUUUGUAUCAUAUAUAUGGAUUUCUAUGAAAGUAUAUAAACCCUACACGGUCCUGGAAGACAAUCAGAUACUCCUUCACCAGCUCAUAAGAGGCCCAGAAAAUUGAAAGCAUCUGAUCUCUGACUGCAAUACUGAUUUCCAAUUUUUUUUUUUUGAAUAAAUUUUAAAUUUUAUUUAUCCAAAACUUUUGUACAUAA